AUCUCAGUUUAUCAUGUUCUAGAGGACUGUGCAAGACUUUUGGAAAUCCCACAAGUGAGUGGUGUAUCUCACUUGAACACGAUAGGCAAACGUACGAUUACAAAGCUUCUUGGAGAUAUAAAAAGACAUCGUGUAGCUCGCUUUAGUCACAGUUAGCAUUCAGCAAGUCAGGAAUACACCUAGCACAAUAUGAAGAUCUCAGUUGCGUGCGCUCUUGUGUUUCUUCUUGUCUUAUCCACGACGGAAGGUUUUACAGCUACCGGCGGAGGAAAUAUUGGCAAACGCACAGAAACUGUACAGGCGAGAAGAGUGCGUAACCUUUGCGCUGCUGCAGCCCAGUAUUGCGAAACUGGACUCAUGGGGUGCCCUGUGGUGCGCUCAGCCAAUAAACAGCCAGGAGAUAUCGAGAGUGACAUAUUUCAAGACAGCUGACCAACAGACCGCAGACGCAUUAGUGAGAAGGAGGUCGUGACGAGAGCUUGGGCUAAACGCUUGGAACGAAAAAUUGCACGGUUCAAUGUCUCAUCAAUUACAUGUUUGCUACUAAAAUGAAAAUUGAAGGUUGAGAAAGACCAUGUUUGAAAGAGAAAACUUGUAAUACUACUUAUUAAAUUAAUAUUUUGUCAAA